AAACUGCGAAUGGCUCAUUAAAUCAGUUAUAGUUUAUUUGAUAGUACCUUACUACUUGGAUAACCGUGGUAAUUCUAGAGCUAAUACAUGCAUUAAAAUCCCGACUUCUGGAAGGGAUGUAUUUAUUAGAUAAAAAACCAACCCCGCAAGGGUUCUUUGGUGAUUCAUAGUAACUUCUCGAAUCGCAUUGCUUUACGCAGGCGAUGGUUCAUUCAAAUUUCUGCCCUAUCAACUAUCGAUGGUAGGAUAGAGGCCUACCAUGGUUACAACGGGUAACGGGGAAUAAGGGUUCGAUUCCGGAGAGGGAGCCUUAAAAACGGCUACCACAUCUAAGGAAGGCAGCAGGCGCGCAAAUUACCCAAUCCCGACACGGGGAGGUAGUGACAAUAAAUAACAAUCCAGGGCUUCUUGUCUUGGAAUUGGAAUGAGAACAAUUUAAAUCCCUUAACGAUUAACAAUUGGAGGGCAAGUCUGGUGCCAGCAGCCGCGGUAAUUCCAGCUCCAAUAGCGUAUAUUAAAGUUGUUGCAGUUAAAAAGCUCGUAGUUGAAUUUUGGGCCGGGCUGGAUGGUCUCGCCGCAAGGUGAGCACUGUUUGGUCUGGCCUCUCCUUCUGGAGAGCCACCGUGCUCUUAAUUGAGUGCGAUGGGGAUCCAGGACUUUUACUUUGAAAAAAUUAGAGUGUUCAAAGCAGGCUUACGCCUGAAUACAUUAGCAUGGAAUAAUAGAAUAGGACUUUGGUUCUAUUUUGUUGGUUUCUAGGACCAAAGUAAUGAUUAAUAGGGAUAGUUGGGGGCAUUAGUAUUUAAUUGUCAGAGGUGAAAUUCUUGGAUUUAUUGAAGACUAACUUCUGCGAAAGCAUUUGCCAAGGAUGUUUUCAUUAAUCAAGAACGAAAGUUAGGGGAUCGAAGACGAUUAGAUACCGUCGUAGUC
rnacentral:rRNA from 1 species